rnacentral:rRNA from 1 species
GACGAACGCUGGCGGCAUGCCUAAUACAUGCAAGUCGAGCGAACAGAUGAAGUGCUUGCACUUCUGACGUUAGCGGCGAACGGGUGAGUAACACGUAAGGAAUCUACCUAUAAGCGGGGGAUAACAUUCGGAAACGGGUGCUAAUACCGCAUAAUAUCUUCUUCCGCAUGGAAGAAGAUUGAAAGACGGCUCUGCUGUCACUUAUAGAUGACCUUGCGGUGCAUUAGUUAGUUGGUGGGGUAAUGGCCUACCAAGACGAUGAUGCAUAGCCGACCUGAGAGGGUGAUCGGCCACAUUGGGCCUGAGGCACGGCCCAAACUCCUACGGGAGGCAGCAGUAGGGAAUCUUCCGCAAUGGGCGAAAGCCUGACGGAGCAAUGCCGCGUGAGUGAAGAAGGCCUUCGGGUCGUAAAACUCUGUUAUAAGAGAAGAACAAAUUGUAGAGUAACUGCUACAGUCUUGACGGUAUCUUAUCAGAAAGCCACGGCUAACUACGUGCCAGCAGCCGCAGUAA